CGGCGUGCCUAAUACAUGCAAGUCGAACGGUCUUUCUAUGGAAGCUGCUUCCACUGAGAAGAUAGUGGCGAACGGGUGAGUAACACGUGGGUAACCUGCCCAUAAGAGGGGGAUAACAUCCGGAAACGGGUGCUAAUACCGCAUAGUUUUCUUGAUCGCAUGAUCGGGAAAGGAAAGACGGCCUUUGUGCUGUCGCUUAUGGAUGGACCCGCGGCGUAUUAGUUAGUUGGUGAGGUAACGGCUCACCAAGACGAUGAUACGUAGCCGACCUGAGAGGGUGAUCGGCCACAUUGGGACUGAGACACGGCCCAAACUCCUACGGGAGGCAGCAGUAGGGAAUCUUCCGCAAUGGACGAAAGUCUGACGGAGCAACGCCGCGUGAGUGAAAGAAGGUUUUCGGAUCGUAAAACUCUGUUGUCAGAGAAGAACAAGUUGGAGAGUAACUGCUCCAGCCUUGACGGUAUCUGACCAGAAAGCCACGGCUAACUACGUGCCAGCCGCCGC
rnacentral:rRNA from 1 species